UCGAGCGCAAAUAUGUGGUGCAAACAAACUCACGGGUAAAAUGGAGUGAAUUUCAUUGUUUGGUCAUGGUACUUUUCAGCGCUAUGUUUUCAUGCUUUCUGCUCGAUUCGUUCGAACUUCAAGAAAUGUUUUGUCUCACAAAACAUGGAGCCACUUUCUCUUCGCUCGACAUCAGUCGAGGCGUACCUAAUGCUCGGGUUAUGAUGAACAUGCUUGCGAUACGAUAAUUUUUUCCUACUGCUGGAAACUGAAGAAUUGAUCUCUGAAAUUGAUAGUCAUCACAUUUUUCAAGAAGCGUCCGAGCUGUGAUCGUGUAAUUAAACGAGCUCCUGGCAAUAUGAGCUCACAAGCACGCUGUGACUGAGAAGAUAAAACAGAAGUGUUGCAGAGCUCUCUUUCCAGAAUGAAUUCAGGAUGAUCAAGCUGAAGAUAGCCUCAAAAAAGAGUGAACUCCAAUGUAACAGUUAGGUGACUAAUUUGAAAACUUGAGCACUUGGCAAAUACACCAUAGCUUGCAAUUCUGAUUAUUAAAGUUUGGUGGGGUAAUUGAAAUGUCAGUCCCCAUGCAGGAACCAUCCACAUGACCUGUACAGUCAUAUGCUAUGAGAUAACUGUAG